rnacentral:rRNA from 1 species
AGUGGCGUACGGGUGAGUAACACGUGGGCAACCUGCCCUGGAGCCUGGGAUACCCUCCCGAAAGGGAGGCUAAUACCGGAUACGUUCCCCGGGUCGCGAGAUCUGGGGAGGAAAGGUGGCGCAAGCUGCCGCUCUUGGAGGGGCUCGCGGCCUAUCAGCUAGUUGGUGAGGUAAUGGCUCACCAAGGCUAUGACGGGUAGCUGGUCUGAGAGGACGACCAGCCACACGGGGACUGAGACACGGCCCCGACUCCUACGGGAGGCAGCAGUGGGGAAUUUUCCGCAAUGGGCGAAAGCCUGACGGAGUGACGCCGCGUGGGGGACGAAGGCCUUCGGGUUGUAAACCCCUGUCAGAGGGAAAGAAGGGUGUCGGCGCGAUAACCGCCGGCACCUGACGGUACCUUCAGAGGAAGCCCCGGCCAACUCUGUGCCAGCAGCCGCGGUAAGACAGAGGGGGCUAGCGUUGCUCGGAAUUACUGGGCGUAAAGGGCGCGUAGGCGGGGCGGCAAGUCGGUCGUGAAAUCCUCCGGCUCAACCGGAGAACGUCGGCCGAAACUGCCGUUCUUGAGGGAUGCAGAGGAGAUUGGAAUUCCCGGUGUAGCGGUGAAAUGUGUAGAGAUCGGGAGGAACACCGGUGGCGAAGGCGGGUCUCUGGGCAUCUCCUGACGCUGAGGCGCGAAAGCGUGGGGAGCAAACGGGAUUAGAUACCCCGGUAGUCCACGCUGUAAACGAUGACGACUAGGUGUGGGGGG